UGGGGGAUAUUGCGCAAUGGAGGAAACUCUGACGCAGCAACGCCGCGUGAAGGAAGAAGGUCUUCGGAUUGUAAACUUUUGUCUUCGGGGACGAUAAUGACGGUACCCGAGGAGGAAGCCACGGCUAACUACGUGCCAGCAGCCGCGGUAAUACGUAGGUGGCGAGCGUUGUCCGGAAUUACUGGGUGUAAAGGGUGCGUAGGCGGGUUGACAAGUCAGAUGUGAAAUCCCAUGGCUUAACUGUGGGACUGCAUUUGAAACUGUUGGCCUUGAGUGCAGGAGAGGUAAGCGGAAUUCCCAGUGUAGCGGUGAAAUGCGUAGAUAAUGGGAGGAACACCAGUGGCGAAGGCGGCUUACUGGACUGCAACUGACGCUGAUGCACGAAAGCGUGGGGAUCAAACA
rnacentral:rRNA from 1 species